GUCGAGGAUCUUCCGCAAUGGGCGCAAGCCUGACGGAGCGACGCCGCGUGGAGGAUGAAGGCCUUCGGGUUGUAAACUCCUGUCACGUGAUGAGAAUCACAGGGCGCCAACACCGCCCUGCUUGACAAGUCAUGAGAGGAAGUCACGGCUAACUCUGUGCCAGCAGCCGCGGUAAUACAGAGGUGGCUAGCGUUGUUCGGAAUCACUGGGCAUAAAGGGCGCGUAGGCGGUCAGGUAAGUCGGUCGUGAAAGCCCUCGGCCCAACCGAGGAACUGCGUCCGAUACUGCUUGGCUGGAGUGCGGGAGGGGAGAGUGGAACUCCUGGUGGAGCGGUGAAAUGCGUAGAUAUCAGGAGGAACGCCGGUGGCGAAAGCGACUCUCUGGUCCGCAACUGACGCUGAGGCGCGAAAGCCAGGGGAGCAAACGGGAUUAGAUACCCGAGUAGUCC
rnacentral:rRNA from 1 species